GUCCAAUCCCAUUCCCUGCUUUUAGACACUUUGAUUAGGAAUAAGUUUUUUGGUGUGCCUGAGAAAAUCCGUAUUUCCAUGAUUAAAGCUUGCAUUUCCAUUGAUGAUAUUAGGUUCACAUUAGAAUUUUUUAAGGGAAAUGAAUAGGGAUGAUAAUGAACAUAAGUUUAAACUCAGUAUUAGGACCAAUAUUGAACUACUAAUGAUGUUAUCGAGGUUUCUAAUGAUUGAUAAAAUGAAGAGAGUUUAUGCACAGGUGCUGAGUGAUAUGCUUGUGCCCAAUAUAUAUACAUUAAACACUAUGGUUAAUGCGUAUUGUAAGAUGGGUAAUGUAGUUGAGGCUGAUUUAUAUGUGAGUAAGAUUUUGCAGGCGGGUUUGAGGCCGGAUACCUUUACUUAUACUUCGUUGAUAUUGGGGCAUUGCAGGAAUAAAGAUGUAAAACGUGCAUAUAGUGUUUUUAAGUUGAUGCUGAAGAAGGGUUGUCGAAGAAUUGAGGUUUCAUACACAAACCUCAUACAUGGGCUCUGUGAGGCUGGAAGGGUUGAUGAAGGUAUUAGUUUGUUUAAGAAGAUGAAGGAGGAUGAUUGUUAUCCAACUGUACGUACAUAUACAGUGAUUAUAGAUGCAUUGUUUGAAAAUUAUAGGAAGUUUGAGGCUAUAAAUUUGUUUAAUGAGAUGAGGAACAGAGGUUGUGAGCCAAAUGUUCACACUCACACUGUGAUGAUUGAUGCUAUGUGUAAAGAAAGAAAGUUUGAUGAGAGUAGAAGAAUGCUAAGUGAGAUGAUGCAGAAAGGUUUGGUUCCCAGUGUGACUACAUACAAUGCUCUGAUUGAUGGGUAUUGCAAGGAGGGGAUGAUGGAGUCUGCACAGGAAAUUUUGGAUUUGAUGAACUCAAAUAACUGUAGCCCGAAUGAGCGUACAUACAAUGAAUUGAUAUGUGGUUUUUGCAAAAGGAAAAAUGUGCACAAAGCAAUGUCAUUGCUUAGUAAAAUGGUCGAGCAUAGGCUGACACCAAACCUGGUUACAUAUGAUUCAUUAAUCCAUGGGCAGUGUAAAGUAGGUCAUUUGGAUAUUGCUUCUAGGUUGCUUGAAAUGAUGAAGGAAAAUGGUCUGGUUCCUGACCAGUGGAUUUACAGCGUUUUUAUAGACGCUCUGUGUAAAAAUAAGAGGAUAGAAGAAGCUCGUGUUUUAUUCAAUUCUCUCAAGGAUAAAGGCAUAAAGGCAAAUGAAGUGAUUUACACUGCUUUAAUUGAUGGAUACUGCAAAGCUGGAAUGAUAGAUGAUGCUGAUUCUUUGCUAGAAAUAAUGCUUACUGAGGGCUGUUUGCCCAACUCAUCCACUUAUAAUGCCCUUAUAGAUGGUUUGUGCAAAGAGA
rnacentral:misc_RNA from 1 species